UAUGGAGGGAGCUAGCGUUGUUCGGAAUUACUGGGCGUAAAGCGCACGUAGGCGGCUUUGUAAGUUAGAGGUGAAAGCCCCGGAGCUCAACUCCGGAAUUGCCUUUAAGACUGCAUCGCUCGAAUCCAGGAGAGGUGAGUGGAAUUCCGAGUGUAGAGGUGAAAUUCGUAGAUAUUCGGAAGAACACCAGUGGCGAAGGCGGCUCACUGGACCGGUAUUGACGCUGAGGUGCGAAAGCGUGGGGAGCAAACAGG
rnacentral:rRNA from 1 species